rnacentral:lncRNA from 1 species
UGGGAGGGCUGGCACUUGCCUUGUGGGUGAGCAGGUCAGGGGGCCGAGACCUAGUUGGAGCCUCAGCUUGUGUCACUGGAAGGCUCCCAUCCUGACCUGGAGGCCCAUGAGAGGUCAGCUUGUUCAGUCCCCUGCCUCAGAGCAGAGCAUACCUGGGCCGGGCAGCUGAGUCUCAGACAAAGCAGCCCCCGGAGGCAGACCUUAGUGGCCAGUUGUGAUUGGAGCCACUUUGUCCCGAUGAGCCCCAGCUUCGUCACCUGUGACUACGACUCUGCAGGGAUCCCCCGGUGUGGUUCCCCAGUGCCAGUGUUGUCUGAUUCCAGUCUGGUGCUCCUUGGUUCCUGAGCCAGCCUGAGGAGUCUGAGCAUUCUGUCACUUGCGACCAAGCAGUGUUAAUACAGAGAAGUCACCACUGUGGGAAUGGAGAGGAGCUGGAUCCUGAAGUGGACGUGUCUGGACUUGGUGAGUAGUGCUUCUGUGGGGUGGGCAGCUGCGAAGGAAUCUAGUUUCCUUAUCUGGAAUCUGGAUGGGAUAUCCUGCCUAGGUGCUAGGCGGUGUAUCCCAGACAGGAAGUGAGGAGUAGGAGGGAUGUGAGAGAAGAGAUCCUGGAGCUUGAGGAUGAGGCGGGAAGGAGGGAGAUGAACUCAAGGCAGCUGGGGGCUGGGGGGAGAAAGAGCGCUUUGUAACACGAACCAAUCUGGGUGAUGUGGUUCCAUCUGCCUCAAAUAUUGCUUGACGCUUUGUUAUACACCAGGCAGUGUACUGGUUAAUAAAACAGUUUGGGGAUGGGUAUUGUUAUCCUCAUCUUACAUGUAAAGAAAGGGUGAUACAGAGAAGUGAAACAGCUUGUACAAAAUCAGAAAAUCAGAGACCAAAAUUCAAACCUGGGUCUAACUGCUAUGCUGAUGCUCUUAAGAACCUAAACAGAUGCUCAGAUGAGGGAACAAAGUCUCUGCCUCAGUCCCUGAGUUUUUACAUAUUUCCAAUGAGUCCUUUAAGUAAAAUAUUCUCCCUGCAAGUACUUUGUGAGGCAAUGCAGUUGAGUAAUAGAAUCUGGGGGCCUGGUUCACUUUGUAAAUACCAAUUCUUUCAUCCUCUUCCCCUACCGGGGUCCAGUCAAAUGAGCACUAAUACAGACAGUUGGUUACCCACCCCGUGGCCCUUCCACUCCCCUUCUCUCAGCACCCACCGAGGUUGCUUUUAAGUGUUCAUGCUUAUCCUUCUGGGACCAGGGUUAGUACUGUGGCAUUAAUAGUGACAUUACCCCCCUUGCUUGGGAUAGAUUCAAGCAUGUGAUGCGACUCAAUUCUGGCCAAUGAGCAGUGAAGAAUAGAUUCCUAUUCGUUUAUAGGGGGCUUCUGAGAAAAACUUUCCUUGAUCUUAAAAUGGGACACAAUGAUGAGAUGUUUUCUGGGGUUUUAUUUAUUUAUUUAUUUAUUUAUUUAUUUGCUGCUGUGCGCAUUGUGUGGUGAUGUGAUGUCUGGGGUGGGCGCAACCAUCUUGCAACUGUGAGGCAAGCUAGCCAAGGACGAGGCGACGUGCUGAGAAUGGCAGAAGGGAAGGAAAAGAGGAAGUCUGGGUCACUCAUGAUGAUGCUGAGCUGCAGGAUUAACCUCUUCUGAAGCUAUUGUUCCUCUGGACUUCUUGUUCUCUGAGAUAAGACACUUUCCUUAUUGUCUAAGCCACCUGAAAGAAGUUCUCUGUUUCUGGCCACUGAAAAGACCUUUACCGAUGUAUGAGCCACGGGUUCAAAAGAAUGUACACCCAAUGUGCUAAUGUGAUAUGCCGACAGUUGGAACAACAGCAUUGGUUAAAGGGGAAAACCGGAUUCCUUGACCAAGGGAGGCACUGAAAAGUCCUUUCUCUGCUGGUUCAGUGGGGAGAGAGUGUGGCAGUCUGAGGCCCUGCACUCUGCAUCUCGUCCACGCAUGUGGGAGGCCUCCUAUCAGAGGAGAGGUCUGCUCCUGGCCAGCCGAACUUCUGACUCCCAUUUCCUGUAGGGUCAGCAGAGGAAAGCAGCUUUAUUUACUGAGUCAGGAUGGAAAACAGAUGUCUAAGCACCCCGCUGGGCCCGGGCUCACCCUGGACAGAGGCCGGGCCUGUUCUCAGCCCUGACCCGCCCACCAACCUCUUGUUCCCCAUAUCGAGUCCAGAUGUGGCUUCUUCCAAGCUCUAAUAAUAAUUUUGAUUUGUUGCAGCUAAAUAAACUACACCCCUCCCAGCUCAACCCUUCACUCGCUAACUCUCCAAGGAGUAUGGGAGCAAUGCUAUGAAACAUUUGUUAAGGAACCCCGGGUGGGGCAGAGAGGAAUGUGAAUUUGAGAAGCAGAGCAAUGUGGGUUCAGCUGCAGCCUGGUCUCAUAUUAACUGAGUGAUUUCAACCCUUGUAUCAGUCAUCAAUUGCUGUGUAACAAGCCACCACAAAAGUCAGUGGCUCAAAACCAGCAACUGUUCAUUUGCUCAUGGAUCUAAAGUUUGGGUGGGGCUUGGUGGGACAGCUCAUUCAUUCUCCACAUUGUGUUGUGUUUGGUAAGUGAAGUCAGAUGGGUCAAUGGAGCACAGGUGUGAGCAGAGGUCAGCAUUACCUCUGGGCCCAGCCAGCUCAUUGCUUUCCUGUUCCCAUAGAGAUAGUUCUUUUUCUUCUCAGUCCUUCCUUCCUCAUCAGUAAACUGAAGGCAGAGAAUGUCUGUAGAAUGUGUGCAUAGCAAGAGAAGUUGGAGUUCCUGUCGUGGCUCAGGGGCUAACGAAUCUGACUAGGAACCAUGAGGUUGCAGGCUCCAUCCCUGGCCUUGUUCAGUGGGUUAAGGACCUGGCAUUGCCGUGAGCUGUGGUGUAGGUUGCAGACGCAGCUCGGAUCCCACGUUGCUGUGGCUCUGGGGUGGGCUGGCGGCUAAAACUCCGAUUAGACCCCUAGCCUGGGAACCUCCAUAUGCUGCGGGAGCGGCCCAAGAAACGGCAAAAA